rnacentral:rRNA from 1 species
AUUGAACGCUGGCGGCAGGCCUAACACAUGCAAGUCGAGCGAGUGGCGGACGGGUGAGUAAUGUCUGGGAAACUGCCCGAUGGAGGGGGAUAACUACUGGAAACGGUAGCUAAUACCGCAUACCAUCGGAUGUGCCCAGAUGGGAUUAGCUUGUAGGUGAGGUAACGGCUCACCUAGGCGACGAUCCCUAGCUGGUCUGAGAGGAUGACCAUCCACACUGGAACUGAGACACGGUCCAGACUCCUACGUGAGGCAGCAGGGGGGAAUAUGGCACAAUGGGCGCAAGCCUGAUGCAGCCAUGCCGCGUGUAUGAAGAAGGCCUUCGGGUUGUAAAGUACUUUCAGCGGGGAGGCGUUACCCGCAGAAGAAGCACCGGCUAACUCCGUGCCAGCAGCCGCGGUAAUUC